UGGGCGUUAAGUUGCAGGGUAUAGACCCGAAACCCGGUGAUCUAGCCAUGGGCAGGUUGAAGGUUGGGUAACACUAACUGGAGGACCGAACCGACUAAUGUUGAAAAAUUAGCGGAUGACCUGUGGCUGGGGGUGAAAGGCCAAUCAAACCGGGAGAUAGCUGGUUCUCCCCGAAAGCUAUUUAGGUAGCGCCUCGUGAAUUCAUCUCCGGGGGUAGAGCACUGUUUCGGCUAGGGGGCCAUCCCGGCUUACCAACCCGAUGCAAACUGCGAAUACCGGAGAAUGUUAUCACGGGAGACACACGGCGGGUGCUAACGUCCGUCGUGAAGAGGGAAACAACCCAGACCGCCAGCUAAGGUCCCAAAGUCAUGGUUAAGUGGGAAACGAUGUGGGAAGGCCCAGACAGCCAGGAUGUUGGCUUAGAAGCAGCCAUCAUUUAAAGAAAGCGUAAUAGCUCACUGGUCGAGUCGGCCUGCGCGGAAGAUGUAACGGGGCUAAACCAUGCACCGAAGCUGCGGCAGCGACGCUUAUGCGUUGCUGGGUAGGGGAGCGUUCUGUAAGCCUGCGAAGGUGGCCUGUGAGGGUUGCUGGAG
rnacentral:rRNA from 1 species